rnacentral:rRNA from 1 species
CACGUAGGGGGCAAGCGUUGUCCGGAAUCAUUGGGCGUAAAGAGCGUGUAGGCGGCCAGAUAAGUCCGCUGUGAAAUCUCGAGGCUCAACUUCGAGCUGUCGGUGGAAACUGUCUGGCUAGAGUCCGGAAGAGGAGAAUGGAAUUCCUGGUGUAGCGGUGAAAUGCGCAGAUAUCAGGAAGAACACCCGUGGCGAAGGCGGUUCUCUGGGACGGUACUGACGCUGAGACGCGAAAGCGUGGGGAGCGAACAGG